rnacentral:rRNA from 1 species
AUGGCUGAAGCUCUGGCCCUAAAAUUCAUCCUAUCACUGGCGCAGAGGACAAGAUGCAACCACAUUAUUAUUAACUCGGAUAAUACGGAGGUGACCGACACCAUGAAGGAAUGAGGGUGAUCAUCGGGAGCAACAUCAGCAAUUUUUUAUGAUUGUUUCUAUUUAGCUUGUGAUUUUUCCAUUUCUAGAUUUGAGCAUUGUAUUAGAGAAGUAAAUAAAGUAGCUCAUGAACUGGUCAAAUUGGCUAGAUUUUCUUUCAUUUUUGAAUAGUUUGAAGAGCCAAAUAGGGAUAUUGUACCAAUUCUCAUAAACGACGUAAUGGUUAUCUCUAAUGAAUAA